rnacentral:rRNA from 1 species
CGGAGGAUCCAAGCGUUAUCCGGAUUUAUUGGGUUUAAAGGGUGCGUAGGCGGCUUAUUAAGUCAGGGGUGAAAGACGGUGGCUCAACCAUCGCAGUGCCCUUGAUACUGAUGAGCUUGAAUGGACUAGAGGUAGGCGGAAUGUGACAAGUAGCGGUGAAAUGCAUAGAUAUGUCACAGAACACCGAUUGCGAAGGCAGCUUACUAAGGUUUAAUUGACGCUGAGGCACGAAAGCGUGGGGAUCAAACAGGAUUAGAUACCCUGGUAGUCCACGCCCUAAACGAUGAAUACUCGCUGUUAGCGAUACACAGUUAGCGGCUAAGCGAAAGCGUUAAGUAUUCCACCUGGGGAGUACGCCCGCAAGGGUG